rnacentral:tRNA from 1 species
ACUUAAAUAAUUUAAAUAAAAUAUUGAUUUGUGGGGUCAGAGAUAUGGGACACCAUUUUAAGUU